GACGAACGCUGGCGGCGUGCCUAAUACAUGCAAGUAGAACGCUGAAGGAGGAGCUUGCUUCUCCGGAUGAGUUGCGAACGGGUGAGUAACGCGUAGGUAACCUGCCUGGUAGCGGGGGAUAACUAUUGGAAACGAUAGCUAAUACCGCAUAACAGUAGAUAUCGCAUGAUAUCUGCUUGAAAGGUGCAAUUGCAUCACUACCAGAUGGACCUGCGUUGUAUUAGCUAGUUGGUGAGGUAACGGCUCACCAAGGCGACGAUACAUAGCCGACCUGAGAGGGUGAUCGGCCACACUGGGACUGAGACACGGCCCAGACUCCUACGGGAGGCAGCAGUAGGGAAUCUUCGGCAAUGGACGGAAGUCUGACCGAGCAACGCCGCGUGAGUGAAGAAGGUUUUCGGAUCGUAAAGCUCGGUUGUAAGAGAAGAACGAGUGUGAGAGUGGAAAGUUCACACUGUGACGGUAUCUUACCAGAAAGAGACGGCUAACUACGUG
rnacentral:rRNA from 1 species